rnacentral:rRNA from 1 species
GACGAACGCUGGCGGCGUGCUUAACACAUGCAAGUCGAACGGAAAGGCCCUGCUUUUGUGGGGUGCUCGAGUGGCGAACGGGUGAGUAACACGUGAGUAACCUGCCCUUGACUUUGGGAUAACUUCAGGAAACUGGGGCUAAUACCGGAUAGGAGCUCCUGCUGCAUGGUGGGGGUUGGAAAGUUUCGGCGGUUGGGGAUGGACUCGCGGCUUAUCAGCUUGUUGGUGGGGUAGUGGCUUACCAAGGCUUUGACGGGUAGCCGGCCUGAGAGGGUGACCGGCCACAUUGGGACUGAGAGACGGCCCAGACUCCUACGGGAGGCAGCAGUGGGGAGUAUUGCACAAUGGGAGGAAGCCUGAUGCAGCAACGCCGCGUGCGGGAUGACGGCCUUCGGGUUGUAAACCGCUUUCGCCUGUGACGAAGCGUGAGUGACGGUAAUGGGUAAAGAAGCACCGGCUAACUACGUG